rnacentral:rRNA from 1 species
UACGUAGGGUGCAAGCGUUGUCCGGAAUUAUUGGGCGUAAAGAGCUCGUAGGCGGUCUGUUGCGUCCGCUGUGAAAACUCGGGGCUUAACCCCGAGCCUGCAGUGGAUACGGGCAGACUAGAGGUAGGUAGGGGAGAAUGGAAUUCCCGGUGUAGCGGUGAAAUGCGCAGAUAUCGGGAGGAACACCGGUGGCGAAGGCGGAUCUCUGGGCCAUUACUGACGCUGAGGAGCGAAAGCGUGGGGAGCGAACAGG